CCUACGUGGGGCAGCAGUAGGGAAUUUUGCGCAAUGGGCGAAAGCCUGACGCAGCAACACCGCGUGAAUGUUAAGCCCUUCGGGGUGUAAAGUUCUGUCAAUAGUGACGAAUUUUGACUGUAUCCAUACAGGAAGCACCGGCUAACACCGUGCCAGCAGCCGGAGUAAGACGGGGGUUGCAAGCGUUGUCCGGAAUCAUUGGGCGUAAAGCGUUCGUAGGCGGCAAGGUAAGUCUGAUGUUAAAGUCCGGGGCUCAAAUCCGGUUCGGCAGUGGAUACUAUCUAGCUAGAAUGUAGUAGAGGUAAAGGGAAUUCCUGGUGUAGCGGUGAAAUGCGUAGAUAUCAGGAGGAACAUCGGUGGCGAAAGCGCUUUACUGGACCAUUAUUGACGCUGAGGAACGAAAGUCAGGGGAGCAAAUGGGAUUAGAUACCCGGGUAGUC
rnacentral:rRNA from 1 species